rnacentral:tRNA from 1 species
UAAGCAUUAAGUUAAGAAAACUGAUAGCCUUCAAAGCUUUAAAUGGUGUAAGUCAUGCUUAG